GUGCCAGCAGCCGCGGUAACACGUAGGAUCCGAGCGUUAUCCGAAUUUACUGGGCGUAAAGCGCGUGUAGGCGGCUGGGUAAGUUGGACGUGAAAGCUCCUGGCUCAACUAGGAGAGGUCGUUCAAAACUGCCUGGCUAGAGGGCGACAGAGGGAGGUGGAAUUCCCGGUGUAGUGGUGAAAUGCGUAGAUAUCGGGAGGAACACCAGUGGCGAAGGCGGCCUCCUGGGUCGCCCCUGACGCUCAGACGCGAAAGCUAGGGGAGCGAACGGGAUUAGAUACCCCGGUAGUCC
rnacentral:rRNA from 1 species